rnacentral:tRNA from 1 species
GCCGGAGUGGUGAAACUGGUAUACACGCAUGGUUUAGGACCAUGUGCCGAAAGGCGUGAGAGUUCGAGUCUCUCCUCCGGCACCA